rnacentral:rRNA from 1 species
UAGGGAAUCUUCCACAAUGGACGCAAGUCUGAUGGAGCAACGCCGCGUGAGCGAAGAAGGCUUUCGGGUCGUAAAACUCUGUUAUUGAAGAAGAACGUGUGUGACAGUAACUGGUCAUGCAGUGACGGUAUUCAAUCAGAAAGUCACGGCUAACUACGUGCCAGCAGCCGCGGUAAUACGUAGGUGGCAAGCGUUGUCCGGAUUUAUUGGGCGUAAAGCGAGUGCAGGCGGUCUUUUAAGUCUGAUGUGAAAGCCUUCGGCUUAACCGAAGAAGGGCAUCGGAAACUGGGAGACUUGAGUGCAGAAGAGGAGAGUGGAACUCCAUGUGUAGCGGUGAAAUGCGUAGAUAUAUGGAAGAACACCAGUGGCGAAGGCGGCUCUCUGGUCUGUAACUGACGCUGAGGCUCGAAAGCGUGGGUAGCAAACAGGAUUAGAUACCCCGGUAGUCCACGCCGUAAACGAUGAAUACUAAGUGUUGGAGGGUUUCCGCCCUUCAGUGCUGCAGCUAACGCAUUAAGUAUUCCGCCUGGGGAGUACGACCGCAAGGUUGAAAC